UACAGAGGGUGCGAGCGUUAAUCGGAGUUACUGGGCGUAAAGGGCGCGUAGGCGGUUAGAUAAGUUAGAUGUGAAAUCCCUGGGCUUAACCUAGGAACUGCAUCUAAGACUGUGUAACUAGAGUACUGUAGAGGGUAGUGGAAUUUCCGGUGUAGCGGUGAAAUGCGUAGAGAUCGGAAGGAACACCAGUGGCGAAGGCGGCUACCUGGACAGAUACUGACGCUGAGGCGCGAAAGCGUGGGGAGCAAACAGGG
rnacentral:rRNA from 1 species